rnacentral:rRNA from 1 species
AUGAUUGAUGAUCUGAUCAAAAAUAUUGUGAGGAAUAAGACCACGGACGAUGACUUUAUUCGGAUGACGUUUCUAGUUCUCUUAGGAACUAUAAUUGCACCACUGUCUCAUGAAUACGUUCCGAAGAAGUACUAUGCCUUAGUGCAAAAUAUUAAGUUGAUAAGGAAGUUCAACUGGAAUGCAUUCACUUCGCGAUUCUGUUUGUCGAAGAUUGGCAAGCUUCUGCAGGACGGCCAUGUUAGGCAGUGGCCACAAGGGAACCUGGCCCUUUUGCAAUACCUAUACUGGGAGAAGGUGCAACCAGUCAUCGGUCCAAAAUAUGAUCCGUUGGCAUUGUUGAGCCCACUGAUGAGGAACUGGACGGAAGAUAUGGCUGUGAGAAGAGACAAAUACGACUAUGAAUAUGGUCGUGGUGUUGGGAUGAUCGAUGACAACAUUACAGAGGAGUACAGGCUGAAAAAAAUUGGAGAAGAAGUAGCUGAAAAAACUAAGAAAGCUAGUACCAAAAAAUCUAACGUUACUGGAAGGAGGAAAGAGGGCAGUACCUCGGAGGCUUCGAGCCAGAAGCCUACUAUGGACCGGAUUUUGAGUGAGAUUAAUGAGCUUCGGAAGGAAAUGCUUUGUUUGCCAGAGUUAUGUGCACAGAGGAUGAUUGAGAAACUGAACAAAACCGGUGUCUUCUACAAACCCGGUAACCUCGAAGAAGAAGAAGAGAAUCUAUACGGAGGCAUUAAUGAGUCUGGAAACGAUGGUGAAUUUUCAGAAAAAGAGUUUGUAUAUCAGAAAGAUGAUUCAGACCAGUUCUGUACACCUUCCAAAAUGAAUUUGCAAAAGGAUGAUGAUGGCGUUGAUGUAACUUCUCGUGGAAACACACCUUUUUACUGCAAACCUGAGUACAUGGAUAGUUUCAAGGGUGAUAUGGAUGAUCCUAUCAAAGUACCAGAAGUAUCAGAUGAAAAAGCGGCCUCAUCUUUAGGGACGGACGAGAUCGCAUCGCAUGCAUCGCUUGGUUCUCAAGGAGUGGAAGAGUAA